AGCGAACGCUGGCGGCAGGCCUAACACAUGCAAGUCGAACGAAGUCUUCGGACUUAGUGGCGGACGGGUGAGUAACACGUGGGAACGUGCCUUUAGGUUCGGAAUAGCUCCUGGAAACGGGUGGUAAUGCCGAAUGUGCCCUUCGGGGGAAAGAUUUAUCGCCUUUAGAGCGGCCCGCGUCUGAUUAGCUAGUUGGUGAGGUAAUGGCUCACCAAGGCGACGAUCAGUAGCUGGUCUGAGAGGAUGACCAGCCACAUUGGGACUGAGACACGGCCCAAACUCCUACGGGAGGCAGCAGUGGGGAAUCUUGCGCAAUGGGCGAAAGCCUGACGCAGCCAUGCCGCGUGGAUGAUGAAGGUCUUAGGAUUGUAAAAUCCUUUCACCGGUGAAGAUAAUGACUGUAGCCGGAGAAGAAGCCCCGGCUAACUUCGUGCCAGCAGCCGCAGUAACAC
rnacentral:rRNA from 1 species